rnacentral:rRNA from 1 species
CCCUACGGGGCGCAGCAGGCGCGAAAACUUUACAAUGCGGGAAACCGUGAUAAGGGAACCCCGAGUGCCAGCAACAAUGCUGGCUGUCCGCAUCGUAUAAUCACGGAAGCUGUGC